GGCUUUGUAGUGUAAAAAACACAUUGAACUGCAAACUCGAUAAUGCAGGAUUGCUGCCUUGGCCU
rnacentral:tRNA from 1 species